GACGAACGCUGGCGGCAGGCCUAACACAUGCAAGUCGAACGAGCGGCGGACGGGUGAGUAAUGUAUGGGUAUCUGCCCGAUGGAGGGGGAUAACUACUGGAAACGGUAGCUAAUACCGCAUACCAUCAGAUGUGCCCAGAUGGGAUUAGCUUGUGGGUGGGGUAAAGGCUCACCUAGGCGACGAUCUCUCGCUGGUCUGAGAGGAUGAUCAGCAACAUUGGGACUGAGACACGGCCCAGAGUCCUACGGGAGGCAGCAGUGGGGAAUAUUGCACAAUGGGCUCAAGCCUGAUACAGCCAUGCCGCGUGUAUGAAGAAGGCCUUCGGGGUGUAAAGUACUUUCAGCGGGGAGGGGUUACCCGCAGAAGAAGCACCGGCUAACUCCGUGCCAGCGGCCGCGGUAAUUC
rnacentral:rRNA from 1 species